rnacentral:rRNA from 1 species
GAGACAGCAGUCGCCGCGGGACACGAGGGGGGCAAGCGUUGUUCGGAAUUAUUGGGCGUAAAGGGCGCGUAGGCGGUUUGGCAAGUUUGGUGUGAAAUCUUCGGGCUCAACUCGAAGUCUGCACCGAAAACUGCCGGGCUUGAGUAUGGGAGAGGUGAGUGGAAUUUCCGGUGUAGCGGUGAAAUGCGUAGAUAUCAGGAGGAACACCGGUGGCGAAGGCGGUUCUCUGGGAAUGUUCUGACGCUGAGGUGCGAAAGCGUGGGGAGCAAACAGGAUUAGAUACCCGCGUAGUCCCUGUCUCUUAUACA